rnacentral:lncRNA from 1 species
CCAGCACAAAAAAACCAAACCGACCCGACUGCCCGACCCAUUUUCCCUUCACACUAAAUAAACCCUAGACCUAGAACAAAAUAAAUCCGAUCCUUCCCUUGGACAAAGAGAGAAGCGGCGCUCCAUCCUAAAGGAGGAGAUGAAAAAAUCGGACACUCCAAUCUAGCCGAUCUAGAGCACCGUUUGGGUUUCUUCUUCCUCCGCUCAGCUCACUCAAAUGAGAACCCACACACAAGAACAAAACAGUCGCUGCUGCUUCUUCAUUUCCCAUCCCAGCCCGUUUAGCCGUGAAAAGCUGUUACUUCAGCUCUAAAAACGAGCAGCAACCGAGAGGGACAAAAAUUCUCCCCUUUAAACAAACUGCCAGAAAUUACCACCCGAACCUAGUUGAAACAGUGUUUGUUUUUUAGUUGAAGAUCUGAAAAUCAAAAACUACAAAUAAUAGAAAGAAAACUGGAUUUUUUCCUAUAAAGGUUUGAAGAAAUACGAUUUCAAAGAUGAAUUUCUUCUUCUCUAGAUUUUCACAAGCUGUAGAGGUUCAAAUUUGUUGAUUUAUUGUUGCUGAUUUUUGGCAGAUUCAUGAUGCUGAGCUCCUCACAUUUGACUAUGUUUUGUUGCCAUCGAGUUCCUAAUUAUCCGAUUUUUUCUCUUGGAAUAGAUUCGAACUCAAGCUUGUAUUUGCUGGCUACAUUCUGUUAUUAUUAAAGGAUUUUGCUCAACAGGUUUGUUUUCCACUAUUCUAUCUUAAUUUUCUUAUAGUAGGUAGAAGCCUUGGAAGGGCUGUUGAGAUUUUGAUUUGGCAUCUAGUCGUCUGAGUUUACAUGUUAGUACAUAACAGUACAAGAUGGCUACGAUUUGAGUUAUAUUCUGAUUUGUUGUGUAUUUGAGUUGUUUAAUAUGCUUUAGUUUGAAUGUUUGAUGGAUGUAAUAUGCAAUGUCCUAUUUUUUUGGUUGAUGAUUUGAGGUUAGCAUAUAGUUAAUCCUCUGUUAGUAAACCAAAUUUGCUAUGUUUGAGACUAAAAUAUGUUGGAAUAUUUGGAACUCAUCCUUUGGGUUGACUCAAUGUUCUUUCUCUCGACCUUUAGCCCAAAAAUAAGAUUUUGCCUCUAAAAAAUAUCCAUUUCCAUUUACGUGGAACUCCAAGAAUGAUUUUCUUACCUUAUUUUGGUUCUAAUAAUUACGUAUUGAAUUGGUAAGAUCUUUACUUUGUGUUAUGAAAUGUUUGUUGAGUUACGGCAAAUUUUCCAUGUUCUAAACUUUAUUUAGUUGAAAUCGAAAGCAAUAAGUCCUUUGAUUUCAAAUGUUGAAAGGACAGAAUUCGUGAGUUGUUGACCAAGCAUAGUAAUUCAUGGCCUUGCAAUAACCUCAAGCUUAAGAAAAUCUUAACAUCCGCAGUUUGCUUUAGUUGAACACCAACUUUUGAAAUAAAUGGAGGUGUGCCAUCUAUUCUUGAAUCACCUAUGGCCCGUGACAGUUCUGCAAUUGCUUCAUUCUCCUUGUGAUUGUCCAUCUGCACUAUCACCAAUUAACAACCGUUAAUCAAAAGUGUUUAAGUUCCUAAUUAAAACAAUCAGGUAAGUUGUAAGGUAAUAAUUACUACCAGAAAAUUAGGUAAACUGAUGAAAGCUUUGUCUUACUGGAUUAAUUCUCUUUGCUAAAUAUACAUCCUAUUUUUUGGGUUUUCUCGCUCGCUGGUGUUUGCCAUGUUUGGUUCUUGUAUUUCGAACUAAAUGCAAUGGCCUGCAAUGUAAACAUCAGAUUCUGAUGGACGAACUCAUGAAGAGCACCACAUGCAAGGUACAAAGGAAGCAAACUUUUAUAUUGUUCUUUUAGAUGAUGAGUUAGAAAUGACAGCUACGUAUAAGUUUUAUAUAUAGUGGUACGUACGCAAGAGGUUAUCAAUGAGAAAAAGAAUAUAGAUUUAGUUCUGACUAAUCUUGCGCCAUUUGCCUGUUUUGAUUAGUCGUGAUUUAAUAUAUUAUUGUGAUGUUGUAUACGUUCGGGUAACAUAAUUACGAAUUACAUUCUAAAAAAAAAGUAACUCGAGAAAUGCGUUCGCACAACUUCAACCAAACUUUCUUAAUAAUUAAUAAAGCGUGAUUAGUUGUGGACACGUACACGUGACAUAAAUUUUGAUGCGCCAAAUGAGAUGAGUACACGUACGCGUAACUUAAUUCUUUAAUUACGAAUAAAUCAAGCAAUUAAAAGCGGUAAAAGUUAAAUGCACAUAGGUCUUAAAAAUAAGUAAUUAAACAAUUUGAGCCAAGUAUAAAUCGCUAAUUGACUGUGCUAGAACCACGGUAUCCGGGAAUGCAUAACACCUUCUCUCGGAUUAACAGAAUUCCUUAUCUAGAAUUUCUGGUUCGCAGACUUUUAUAAUAAAGUCAAAAUUUCCUCGAAUUGGAAUUUUUAAAAUAAACCGGUGACUUGGGACACCAAAAAUAAAUUAUCCCAAGUGGCGACUCUGAAUGUGAAUAAAUAAUCCCAUUUCGAAUAAUGUCAUUUUAAUUGGAAAAACUCCCAUAUACCUCUCAGGGUGUAAAAGGAGGCGUGACACAGGGUAACAUUCGAGGAGUUGAAAAAGAGGCUAGUCACAACACCCAUCAUUGUUGCCUCGACUGGGAGCAACCAUUCUAACUCAUGUGUGACGCCAAUGACUAUGCAAUGGGGGCAGUGUUGGGACAGCGGAAAGACAAGCUAAUGCACCCAAUUUACUAUACCAGUAGAACGUUGAGUGGAGCCCAGCUGAACUACACUAUGACUGAAAAGGAGAUGCUGGUUGUGGUGUUUGCAUUCGACAAGUUCAGAUCAUACCUGAUUGGCUCUAAGGUAAUUGUAUAUACUGAUCAUGCAGCUCUCCGGUACUUGAUUGAGAAGAAGGAGUCCAAACCGCGCAUGAUUCGUUGGGUGUUGCUGCAAGAGUUCGACUUGGAGAUUUGUGACUGUAAGGGCACGAAAAACCAGGUUGCUGAUCAUCUAUUGCGACUUGAAGGAGCUGAACACUCAGUAGAGACAGAGGAUAUUCUGGAAACCUUUCCAGACGAGUAGCUACUCGCCACAAGCCUUGAGGAAGUGCCAUGGUAUGCAGACUUUGCAAACUACCUAGCAAGCGGUAUAGUUCCCUAUGACCAAUCUUCUGUGCAAAAGAAAAUGUUUUACCGUGACUGCCAUAUGUAUUACUGGGAUGAACCUUAUCUGUUUAGAAUUUUUGUUGAUAAUAUGAUUUGGAGGCGUGUCCCUGAGAUAGAACAAUCUUCUAUUUUGCAAGCAUUUCAUGCAUCGACAUAUGGCAGACAUUUUGGAGGAUUCAGGACGGAAGCUAAAGUUCUAGAAGUCGGGUUCUACUAGCCAACAGUAUUUAAGGAUGCACAUCGAUGGAUGAAGAGCUGUGAUGAAUGUCAGCGAAUCGGAAACAUUUCUCGUCGCCAUGAGAUGCCCAUGAACCCAAUUCAAGAGGUUGAAGCGUUCGAUGUAUGGGGAAUAAACUUCAUGGGCCCCUUUGUCAGCUCCUUUGGCAAUAAAUACAUACUUGUUGCUGUAGAUUACGUGUCCAAAUGGGUGUAAGCUGCAGCACUCUUCACCAAUGAUGGAAGAGUGGUGGUGGGAUUUUUGAAUAAGAAUAUAUUCACCCGUUUCUGGAUCCCGAGAGCUAUUAUCAGUGACGGAGGCACUCAUUUCUGCAAUCGAGCCUUCGAGAAAUUGCUAGCAAAGUACGAUGUGCACCACAAGGUGACAAUCUCGUAUCAUCCUCAGACUAGUGGAUAGGUCAAAGUGUCGAAUAGAUAGAUAAAGAGUGUACUGACCAAGACUGUGAACGCCACAAGAACUGAUUGGGCGAAAAAGCUAGAUGAUGCACUCUGGGCCUACAAAACUGCCUUUAAAAAUCCAAAUGGUAUGUCACCAUACAAGUUGGUAUUCAGAAAGGCCUGUCACUUACCAGUGGAACUAGAACACAGAGUCUAGUAGGUAAUGAAACAACUGAAUCUGGACAUUAAGGCUGCGGGAACAACUAGAGUCACAGAAUUGCAUGAGCUCGACGAGUUCCGAUAUCAUGCUUUCGGGAGCACAAGGUUGUACAAGGAGAGAAUGAAGAAGUUGCAUGACAAGAACAUUGUUGAGAGAAAUUUCAAGCCUGGAGAUAUGGUGUUUCUCUAUAACUUAAGAUUAAGGCUAUUUCCGGGUAAACUUAGGUCACGAUGGUUUGGACCAUUUCGAGUGGUCGCAAUGCUCCCUUCAGGUGCCGUAGAGAUUGCUUCAGAGAAAGUCUCUCAUACAUUUAGACUCAAUGGGCAAAGAUUGAAACUAUAUGUGGGCAUGGAUGCAUCCACAGAAGUGUCAGUGAUUCAUCUGACUGAACCUCAGAGGUCGAGCGAGCCUUAAAUGCGCUCAUUUGAGUCGUGACACGACGUUAAAUCAGGCGCUGUGUGGGAGGCAACCCAUGAUUUCUUUUGUUUUCUUGUCUUUUGUUUGAUGUUGUACCAAAUGUGUGGGAAACUAACAUCCUUAUAAAAAAAGGGCUCGUGACCGCGACCACGGCGUGAUCGCGGUAAAUGACGAGUAUUCUGUUUUAGGAUUUCUCGAUCCACCGCGACCGCGACACGAUCGUGGUAAAACAAGAUCAUUCUGUUUCACGCCCUUCACUCACCGCAGCCGCGGUGUGACCGCGAAACCACUGUCGCCCAUGUAAGUCAUUUUUUUUUUAAAACAAGAUUUUUUUAUUUUAUUUUCUUUCCCCCUCCUCUUAAACACCCCAUUUCACACGCCCACCCUCACUUUCCCCAUUAUUCCCUCUCUCUACAAACCCUAACCCAUUGCUUCUCUCUCUUUCUUCUUCUUCUUCUCUUUAAGACAUAACCCCUUCUUCUCUCUCUCUCUCACACACACCCCCCUACAAGACUCCAUCUUCUAUCAAUCUCAAUUUCUAAAAACCCAGGCAUGUCAAACUUCUCCUCUCCCUUCUUGUGUUUCUUUAUUUUGCAAUUUUUAUGUUGGAAGUGUGUAGUAUUUAUAUUUAGAUUUUGUUUUGAUUUUAUUUUUUGCUUUUUGGUGGGUUAUGUGAAAAAUGUUGUAGAUAAAAGUGUGGUUUUGUUGUGUAAAUUUCAUUGUGGUGGGGUGGAAGGGUGAAGUGCGAAUGGUUGAUUUGGGGGAAGAAUUUAUGCUUUCAUAGGGCUAGGUGUGUUAGAUUAGAAACCAUUCUCACAAUGUGUUUGUGAAAUUGCCCCAAUGGAGUUGUAAUGACUAAUGUGACCAUGGUGGUGGUGAAGUCUGAGUAACCACCCAGGGUUCACACAACUCAAACCCUCACUAAUAGGAGCCUAUGUUUUUGGCAGGUACAAUGCAUCAAUCCAGGAAGAGAUGUACCACAGGGUCCUCCGUUAGUGGACCGGGCAGUUCUUCUAGAGCUCGGGGUCAAGCUAGUGCGGAACAAUUUGAUCGCGCUAGGUUUGUCUCCAAACCAGCUGAGGACAAGUAUAACGUCAAGGCAUCCAAGAAAUUGUUACCUGAAGUACAUAUUGAUCGGCAAGCCUUGCAAGUGGAAUGCCCAAGUAUCUUUGCAGAGUUGAGGAGGUGUCAGCUGGACAUCUUCUUUGAUGAACCGGAGGAGGCGAAUGUACUUAUGGUAAGGGAGUUUUAUGCAAACUGGCCGGAGCAUGUUGAUCGGGUGGUCAUAGUACGAAACACCCAUAUGAAUGCGUCCCCUGAAGCCAUCCGCCGAGUGUGCCGACUGCCAGUAUUCAUUGGGGAUACAGAUUAUUACCAGGCUUAUCACCACCUAACUAUCUAGUGGGCACCGAUUCUUGAAUCAAUAUAUGUGGCUGACAGGGAACCAAUAUGGAUAAAGCACCGAAUUACACUGAAAUCCUAGUCUCUCACUUAGGAAGCUAAGUGUUGGCUCACAUGUAUCAACAACCGUUUGCUGCCCUCCAGCAACACUACCGAUGUCAAUGGGCCAAGAGUAGCGGCUAUCUACUAUUUUAUGACUCACCAUGAUUUUGAUGUUGCCAAGCUCCUUCAUGAUGAGAUGUUCAUUCGCUCCCCAGAAGUACUCAAAUGGUUUUACUUCCCCUCUCUGGUUACCAAGCUGUGUCGUGCUGCACGAGUUCCUAAAAAUCCCAGAGUAGAUGGAAAAUUGCCAUUGAAAGCCCCAUUCCGGGCUAGUAAAAUCACAGUUGGGAGAGAACCGGUAGUGGUGGUUAAUGAUGAUGAUGAUGCUGGUGAGGAUGCUGAGGACACUACCGCCCCACCACAGCCAAGUGUUGAUGAGGCAGUCCCAUCACAGGCCCACUGAAGUACUCGCAUGACAGCCCUGGAGCAAGAAAUGGCUGGCCUCCGCACUUCGGUCACUGACUUGGGUACUAGAGUUGACAAUUUGACUACUCAACAUGCUAGGUCGGAGAAAAAGAUCAUGGAAUGGCUCCGAGCACUAGGACGAGUGUGUCACCUCGAUCCUAGCACCGUCUCUUAUUAGGAUUGAGCACAGGGAUGUCCCCUUACCUUACUCUGCUUUACAUUCUUUGACAUAGGGACAUGCUAAAACUUUAAGUGUGGGGUGGGGGAUGGUUGUUGUUGUAUAAAUUGUAUAAAUGUGUAUGGAGUUGUUUUUGUUUGGUAUUGUUGGUUUAUGUUAGUUAACGUCGACUUGGCCCAAAGACGGACGCCUCUCGACGGGUCUCUUGAGGGAUUUAAGUCGAAAGAAAAAAAAACAAAAGAUUUUCGUUUGUUAGGUAGUGUAUCAACUCCCCCUUGGUUUUUCUUUAAACCACGGUUCUUUUCGAAGGAUUUCUAUUUGAACCGGGUGUAGUUAGUUUUUUUUUCUUUUUCUUUUUAAAUUAGGAAGUCUUGGGCGAGAAGCAAAAAUGAAAAUAGAGAUCCUUAACUCUAUGGUACCUUGAAUAAAGACUGCGUUAGUGUGACACUUAGGCUCUUUAGUUGACUCAAAGAAGUCCUUAAAUUGUGUGUUCCUGAAUGGCUCAAGUACUUAGAACAUAGUGUCUGAUGAUCCUAACUAAAUUGACUCAUGUGCCAUGUGUGAGUGAGGCUUUAGGUAUUUUGUGUUAACAUUCAAUGCCUAGAACUUUCCCUCUGUGUGUGCAAAGUGAAAUGGUAGCCUCAUUUGGUCUGGAAAGUGAUAUAGGCAUUUCUUUGCUUAACCUUUCUAUGUAUGCUUGUUCCCACAUAAUUGUGUAUACCCUAGUCAACCCCGUUGAGCCUGUAAGCCUGUUUUCCUUGGCAACCACAUUACAAGCCUAACCCGAGUUUAAAUAGCCUAUCUUGUUGAACCCUAUCACCUCUUAGAAGCACUCAAAGUAUAACAGAUAUAGAAAAAAUAUAAGGGUGGGGUGGUUGGUUGGGCUGUUAAGUGGAAUUAAGGGGACAUGAAAAGAAAAAAAAGUGCACUGGUUGAUAAACAACAAUAGAGGCCACCAGAAAGAGAAGAAAAAAAAAGAGAAGCCUCAAAGUGGUGGAAACUAUUUAAAGAAAAAGUGUGCUUAAAGAAAAAAAAGGGUUAACACAAUAAUGUAAUGGUGGAAGGAAGGUGUGACAAAGUUAAGAGCUUAAAAGUACACAAUGUAGUGGAGUGCUUAGGGAGGUGUAGUCACUAUACCCAGAUGUAUCCUACCCAUCCCGUAGCCAACAUUACAACCAAAUAAAGUCCUAUUUGAUUCUAGACCGAAUGAGCUCGAUUAGUCGAGUAUUACAAAACGGGCAAGCCCAUGGUGUGUUGUUUGUGGCAUAAGAAUUUGUUCUGAGGGUGAGUGAAAUGUUGUAUUUGAAUUCCUCAGUGUGUGGUUUGUAAACGAUAUAAGUUUCUUUUCUAGUGAGUAGGCAUAUGAUUCAUGAAGGGAAGGUAAGUCUGGACCUCUGACUGAGAGUAGGAGAGUUGUUUAGGGGUAUUGCGUGGCUAGAAAGGAGUCCACUCUUGAGGCGAGGAGGUUGUGCUGAAGUAGUCUAUCCAUGUGAAAUACUCUUGGUAUAAGGAGUAGGGAAGUGCCCCAAUGAUGAUUAAGCCUAUAGAGUGUGGUUUGUUGCAAGAGGACUAGCAACAGUUUAAGUGUGGGGUGUUGAUAGUAGGCGAUAUAGACGCUAUUUACACUCUAAAUGUACCAUACUUUAUUGUUGUUUUAAAGACAAAAUGAUAACAAAAUACUCUAAUUGGUGUUCUUUUGCUUCGAAAGAACUAAUCCAAGUUAGGAAGAGACUAUGGAGUGUUUUGGAGUCAAUAAUGUGGAUAUAAGGCCAAUCAAGAAGAACCCAAACAAAAAUAAGCAAGAAUGGGGCAAAGGAGGACUAGACAAGAGGCCACCGCGACCGCGGUCGACCGUGGUUGGAACGCGGUAGGCCAAACGAUUGAGGUAGAAUAGUUUCAUUUCACCGCGGUCACGCCGCGUUCUGCCGCGGUUGACUGUUUAAUCGCCCAGAAAUUUUGGGACUAAAGUGUAAAUGGGGGGAAACUUAUCCUAACCCUUUAUUAACUCAACAAACUCGCCCAAGCAAAGGUGAAGCUUGCUUUUAGACUGAAUUGGAGGCAAGAACAAGUGUGAGAAGAGCAAUCAACCAUUAGAGUUUUUCAAUCUUCUCUUUGUUAUCUUUAUUUGCACAUUAUGAAUACUUUUGUGGUUUUAUCUUGCUUUGCUAUGAGUAGCUAAAUAUUUAGUCUAAGGUUUUGGUGGAACCUGUUGAAGGAUGAACUUCGUGUUAUGUUAAUAUAGUUUGCCCGGUUUAAUCUCUAUUUAUUCAACUACGUUCUUGUUGUAGUUAAUUGAUAGGAUCCUCAAUUAGCUGUGCCUAUUUAGUAUGUAUUACUUAGGAGAGAAUGCAUAUUUAGGUAAUUAUUGAACAACACCACUCCCAAAAUAUAUGAGGAAUCAAUAACCAAGGGUUUAAAGGCGGGAUUUGGGAUAAUGAAGCCUUGGGUGUGAUCUAAAGUGAGCUGUAAUAAAGGCCAGCUAGCCUAACUCGGGAGAGUGUAUAUAGUAAAUUGUCGUAAUUACUCGGGAGAGAUUUACGAUAGUAAGAGUGCUCAUGAUCGAUAGAGAUGAUUAUGCAAAUCUGUAUGAAACAUAACAGGAAGGGAUUCCAUAAAUAGGGAAAAUCACAACCUUAGAUCCUUCUCUUAAUUGUUUACAACUCAAUCAUAGUUAGUUCUUAGUUUACUUAAUUUCAUUCAGUUAUAGUUAGUAAAAUAUCAUCAAUUGUUAUUCAAAAUAUUUGAGAAGUUGAUUACAUAGAAUUUAGUGAGUCUAACAAGAGUAAUUGAUAGGUUAAUUCCUUGUGGAUUUGACUCUGACUAAAUACGCAAAUUAUAUUUGCAACGUCCACUUGUCCUAUUUUUAAGGCAUAGUUGGGUGUGAUCAAUUGACCAUGAAAAUGAUGCUCUAAAAUCGCUCCUAGGUCGACUCCCAUGGAGUAAAUGAGAUAAAAAUGGCCAAACUCCCGAUUUUUAAAAGAACACUGCCUAGUCCGACCUUUUUCGCGAACGCGGCAAGUCACUCGCAUUCGCGAAGCAGUUACCAGCUCCAGCUCAAAAACUCCCUUUCGCGAACGCGAGUCACUGCUCAUAAACGCGAUGUUUUACCAGGCGAACCUUCGCGAACGCGUUGCACCCUUCACGAACGUGAAGGUUAAAAUCCACAUAGGACCAAUUUCUCCUUCGUGAACGCGUAGCUCAAAAGUCAGCAGCCAACAGAUGCUUCUUCGCGAACACGGGAAUCUCUUCGCAUUCUCUCCCGCGUUCGUAAAGAACAAAACUAGAUACCAGACAUCAUCUACCACAACUCAACCAAACUUGGUCCGAAACCAUCCCGAAACACACCCGAGGCCCCCGGUACCCCGUCCAAUCACACCAACCAGUUCCAUAACAUAACAUGGACCUGCUCGAGGUCGCAAAUCACAUCAAACAACAUCAAAAUCAUGAAUCGUACCCCAAUUCGAGCUUAAUGAACUUUAGAAAUUUAAACUUCUAUAUUUGAUGCCAAAACCUAUCAAAUCAAUUCCAAUCGACCUCAAAGUUUGCAAACAAGUCAUAAUUGACAUUACUAAUAUACUACCACUUCCGGAAUCAGAAUCUGACCACGAUAUCAAAAAGUCCACUCCUGGUCAAACUUCCAAAAACCUUCAACUUCCAACUUUCACCAAACGACCCCGAAAUGACCUACAGACCCCCAAAUCCACAUUUGGAUGUGCUCCUAAGAUCAAAAUCACUAUACGUAGCUAUUAUUAGGCUCGAAAUAUUAAACGGACAUCGAUAACAUUAAAAUACACUUCAACCCAAAUUCAUGAAAUUCUUCCAAAAUGCCAACUUUCCAUAAUAAGCGUCGUAAUGCUCCCAGGUCAUCCAAAACCCGAUCCGGGCAUACGCUCAAGUCCAAAAUCAUCAUACAUACCUUGGAACCUUCAAAUCCUGAUUCCGAGGUCGUUUAGUAAAACUUCAAACCUUAGUCAACUCUUCCAACUUAAAGCUUCCGAAAUGAGAAUUUUCCUUCUGAAUAAACUCCGAACUUCCCGAAAUUCAAUUCCAACCACACGUGCAAAUCAUAAUACCUGAAGUGAAGCUACUCAAGGCCUCAAAUCACUAACUGACGCGUUAGCGCUCAAAAUGACCGGUCAGGUCGUUACAAUAUUGGGUCGGUUGUACUCAUGCUGCACUUUUGCACUUCUUGUGCAGAUACUGCCGUUGGUCCCAACGGCAUCUAGUAGUGUUCUGCUCGAAUCCAGCUACAUUCGGAGACUUGAGGUAUAGUUCCACAGCAUCCGCAUCCCUGAAGUCCCCUUCUUUAUCUAUCAUAUUGUUUAUCUAGUCUCGAAUUGUUGUAUUUGCUUCAAACCAUAUGUGUAGUACUCUAGUUUCUCAUGUAUUCGUGACUCCAAAUUCUGGGAGACGUUAGAUAUCGUUAUAUAUAUUUUAUUAUUCCUUCUCGGACUAUUUUGAUUUAUUUUAUUAAUGUUUUAUUUUGAAUAGUUAAAAUUGGUUAAAUAAUCUAGCUAACGUUGACUUGCCUAGCAAGUUAAAUGUUAGGCGCUAGUGGGAUUCCAGGUCGUGACAAGAAUUCAUGAAGAAUCUUUUAUUGUUUAAUGUAUGUCAAUGUGAAUUAUCAAUUAUUUUGUACAUCAUAAUUGAAUCGGGGUGGUCAAAUCGUCCUUUCCAACUGAUAAUCCUUUGUAUCACUAAACUAGCAUGUAAAUUCAUUAUGCUUAUAUUUGUGUAGUACAAGCAAGAAAAAAGUUGGGUAACCUUCAAUAUUUACCCGGUAUGAUUGUAGUAAUAUGAAGAUAUUCAAUCUUCACAUCAUUUAUAGUCUCAAUAUGUCACAAUUUUGGCUAAUAUCUUUGAAACUCAAUAAGUUUCUUUGAGACUUAUUAUAAAAAUGCUCUUUUGGAGCUCUUAAAUAAUUUUGUACUAUAGUUCUUCCGUCACACCAUCCAUAUACUGAAUGUCUCCUCCACGAAGAAAAUCAUAUUUUUUGACAUAAUCAAAAUUAUUAUAGGCAAGACCAUGUUCUCGCUUUACUUUUGCCUUUAAUAAUAUUUGAUAAGGGGUGACAAAAUAUUUUCUAUGUAGCAUAGGUACGUGACCAAUGACAUAUUCAUGCAACCACACUGGAAUAUUUAAUCUCCUUAUUUCUCUCAAACCUCCUUCAGAUGUGAGUUGUGGUAUUUAUCCAACCAUGCAUGAGCACAUCCGUAUUCAUAAUAUUUAUCACAUAUAGUCAUAUUCACUUCCAAGAAUGAGUCUGCAUUCACAAUGCUUAUCACAAGUCUCAUUCUUUCAGCAAAUGGACUAUAAUCAUCUAGAUAUACUUUAUUAUUAUUAUUUUCAUACCACUGUGAUGGUAAAUAUUGCCUUCACUUUUUAAGAAUUACUUUGAGAACCCUUACUGUUCUCCUUUUUAUAAUUACUAUAAUGAUGAUUAUUAUUAUUUUGCCCUCUGACACGCCCACAUACAUUCAUAAGUCCCCAAUAAUUAGUUAGACUUUUUUCAAACUUUUGAUCUAUUUCUUUACAUUCACUUCAGGGAAUGGAGCAGAUACAAUGAGACAUGCUUCAUGUUUUUUUAAUUAAAAUCAUAUUAUUUCCCCAAUCAUUAUUAUAUCAUAGCUGUGGUGCAUUGCGACUCGAACCCAUUGUCUUAUUCAUAUAGUAUGUAUUAGGCCAUAAUGCAUUGGGACUUGGAUCCAACGUCUUAUCAUCAUGAUGCAUCAUGGCUUAUCUGAUGUUUUAAAAUAUCUUUCUAAAAGUUGCUACUUCAUAAGCAAAUUCAAGGCAAGUAACAUAGAGAAUAGCUCUCUACAUGUCUUUAUCAAUAAUAAGCUUAGAGAGCCUUUUGAAAAUAUUAGACUUUUAGAUGAUUGCAUACAAUAAAAAUUGUAUGCCUCCGACUUAUAGGCCCAAGGGCCCAUCCUAAGUCCGAGUACGGGCAAGAUCAAGCUCGAGCUCGAGGGACCAGAUCCGAGUUUGAAGGUGGAGCACGAUGCAUACCAAGGUCGAGUGUGCUCGACCCCAAAAUAGUCCCGUUACGGAUUUGUACCAAAACAAGUUAGAUUCCUGCCACGUCCCCAAAGUCAUGGCGCAAAUCCAGGAAUAUGAUUGUACGAUUCCGUACUAGGUGGUUAGACAGUUGUACCAAGAAUAUUCCUUAUUUAGGGUUCCCCUAUUAUAUAAAGGGGACCCCAAUCAUUUGUAAGACAUCUUAUCAUUGAACAAAGAAUAUACUCUCUACUUUUUGCCUACUGUUCAUCAGAACUAUCCUUUAGCUUUAUUGUUCUUACUUAAUUGUUCCAAUUGCUCUAAGCCACCUCGAGGUCACUAAGCUCGAGGUCACUGCAGUUGAGUAACACUGGUUUGAUUUACUUGUCUCUUUUAUUUAUACUUCAUAUUUCUUGAUUAUUAAUUGGUAUUGAACUAAAUCACAUAUCUUUAAAACCACAAAUCAAAUUUAAUUGUUACUCGUAUUUUUGAGGUAAAUAGUUUGGCGCCCACCAUUGGAUUAAAGAUAAAAGUGAUUAUUUCUUUACUGAUUUUCAUUACACACGUUGCUUUUACACCUUUUCUUGUCAAGAUUUUUGCUUCUCAGGCUGAAACAUAUCUAGGUCACAAAACGCACCCAUUCAUGACAACGAAGGUCUUGGAGAAAACAACAACGUAGGAGUCGGUGUACCACCAAUAAACCCAUGGAAGUGCCAAAUGUGGAACCUUUUGAUGUUAGUUCACACAUUUCUUUGAAUGCAGAUCUAGGCGCGGACCCCGAAGGAAAUAUAUGCAGGGAAGCCCUGUCCGAUGGCCAAAGAACACAAGGAAUGGAAAAGGGGGGACUCGGGGAUAAAAAUUCAGAGUCAAAAUAAAAUUCCAAACACAGCUGAACUAGUAAACUCUUGGCAUGCUGAGCCAGCACUAGAAAGGCUCGGUAAAAGUGGCUCGGGGACUGACCCUAUGAUUAUGAGGAUGCUCGAAGAGCUUACUAAGAGGAUCGAGUCUGAGGAAAAGAAAAUUGAAGACAACGAUAAGAAGGUGGAAAUUUACAACUUCCGUGUUGAUCAAAUACCGGGGGCACCUCCAGUUUUGAAAGGCUUAGACGCUAAAAAGUUCAUACAAAAACCAUUCCCCCCGAGUGCGACUCCGAUGCCCAUUCCCAAGAAGUUUUGCAUGCCUGAUAUACCCAAGUAUAACAGGACAACAAACCCUAACGAGCAUAUUAUUUCAUACAAUUGCGGGAUCAAAGGGAAUGACUUGAAUGACAAUGAUAUCAAGUCAGUUUUGUUGAAAACAUUUUGGGAAACGCUAUCAGAAGGAGCCAUGAUUUGGUAUCACAACUUAGCUCCUAAAUAUAUUGAUUUAUUUGCUAUGCUAGCAGACGCCUUCGUGAAAGCACACGCCGUGUCUAUAAAGGUGGCCACGAGAAAAUCGGAUGUCUUCAAGAUAAAGAAAAGGAACGACGAGAUGCUAAGGGAGUUCAUGUCCCGGUUUCAGAUGGAAAGAAUGGAAUUGCCAUCGGUCUCCGAUGAUUGGGUAAUACAGGCCUUUAUGCAGGAUCUGAAUGAAAGGAGCUCGAUUGCGUCUUGACAAUUGAAACAGAACUUGAUCGAAUAUUUAGCUGUGACAUGGUCGGAUGUGCACAAUCAUUACCAGUUAAAAAUUAGGGUCGAGGAUGACGAGUUGGGAGCCCCCUCAAGUUUAAUUCAUCCUAACAAAUUUGCGGCCAAGCCCCCGAGGGACAUAGACCGGGAAUCGAGAUUCAACAAAGAACGGUAUCAGCCAUAUGCCGAUCGAAGGAAUAGCGGCCGAAGCCGCAACACUCCUUGGAGCGAUCGGAGAAACGAUCGAGGUCAAAGUUCUUGGUGACUCAUGAGUAAAAGCGGGUUCGAUAAGCACAUCGACCCCGCCGAGGCCCCUCGAUUAUCAGAGUACAACUUUAGCAUAGAUGCAUCAAGGAUUGUCUCAGCUAUUGGGAGAAUCAAAGAUACCAAGUGGCCUAGGCCAAUACAGACCGAUCCUUCUAAAAGGAACCCGAACUUGAUAUGUAAGGAUCAUGGCACACAUGGUCAUCGAUGAAAAGAUUGCAGACAGCUAAGAGAAGAAAUAACUCAUUUGUUCAAUGAGGGCCACCUUCAAGAAUUCCUAAGUGAUCGGGCUAAGAAUCACCUCAGGGAGAGAGAUGCAAGGAAAAAUGAACAAGAAGAACCACAACAUGUAAUCCACAUGAUCAUUGGCGGAGUCGAUGUCCCUCAAUGACCUGUGUUCAAGCGCACCAAAGUAUCAAUCACUAGGGAAAAACGGACUCGGAGUUAUGUGCCCGAGGACAUCUUAUCAUUCUGUGAUGAGGAAGUAUAAGGCAUAUCUCAGCCUCACAAUGAUGCCCUGGUAAUCUCUAUCCUUUUGAAUUAAAUUCAAGUUAAACGUGUUUUAGUGGAUGCAGGUAGCUCAGCAAACAUAAUCAGAUCGAGGGUCAUGGAACAACUCGGCCUACAAGAUAAGAUUGUACCUACAUCCCGGGUCUUGAAUGGCUUCGACAUGGCAAGUGAAACAACAAAGGGAGAGAUUAUCGUGCCAGUAAACGUAGCCGAGACCAUACAAGAUACGAAGUUCCAUAUCAUCGAAGGUGAUAUGAGGUAUAACUUACUCCUUGGGAGACCAUAGAUACACAACAUGAGGGCAGUGCCUUCAACUCUUCAUCAGAUAAUGAAGUUCCCAACGGAGGAAGGAGUGAAAACAGUCUACGGAGAGCAACAUGCUGCAAAAGAGAUGUUUGUAAUUGAGGAAGUGGUGCCGAUACCAGAGCCUUCGACUUUGGAGAAAUCGAGCAUCGGAGGUAAACAGGUGGCCAAAUAGCAAUCACCGCCUCCAACCUCGAUGGAAUCGGAGCAACAGGUAUUCGAAGACGAAGAUGAGGAUUUCCUUACUCCCCGAACCUUCGUCAUCCCAAAUAAUCCGAUGCAACCAAAUCAACCAUCAAGGAGCUGGAAUAGGUCAUUUUGAUCGAAUACACGCCCGAGAAAAAGGUAUACCUGGGAACAGGAUUAACCCCCGAACUCAGGAAAAAAAUCAUUCAAUUUCUUAUUGAUAAUAUGGAUUGCUUUGCUUGGUCACAUUUAGAUAUAAUAGGGAUUCCACCGAAAAUCACCACGCAUCGGCUAAGCACUGAUCCCAGGUUCAAAUCGGUGAAACAAAAAAGGAGGCCUCAAUCCGAGGUAAAGCAUGCUUUCAUAAAGGACGAGGUAACCAAACUUCUUAAAAUAGGAUCUAUACGGGAGGUAAAAUACCCAGAGUGGUUAGCCAAUGUAGUUGUAGUUCCUAAAAGGGAAACAAACUUAGAAUGUGUGUAGAUUAUAAAGACUUGAACAAAGCGUGUCCAAAAGAUUCUUUCCCACUGCCCAACAUCGAUUGUAUGAUCGAUGCCACGACUGUCCACGAGACCCUAACUUUUCUUGAUGCCUACUCUGGGUACAAUCAAAUCCAGAUGAACCCGGAGGAUCAGGAAAAGACUUCAUUUAUUACUAAAUUUGGAACUUAUUGUUAUAAUGUAAUGCCCUUCGGGCUAAAAAAUGCAGGAGCUACAUACCAACGCCUAGUUAACAAAAUAUUUGAAGAACAAAUAGGUAAAAUAAUGGAAGUUUACAUUAUGAUAUGUUGGUCAAAUCCUUGCGCGCAUAGGACUAUUUGACUCAAUUGCGAGAAAUAUUCAAAAUCUUGAGAAAAUACAACAUGAAGCUUAACUCGGAGAAAUGUGCCUUCGGAGUCGGCUCAGGUAAGUUCCUCGGCUUCAUGGUGUCGAAUAGGGGCAUUAAAAAUAACCCCGAUAAGAUCAAGGCCAUCGAGGACAUCACGGUCGUGGAUAGUGUGAAGGUCGUGCAAAGGUUAACAGGUUGAAUAGCUGCUCUAGGUCGAUUCAUUUCGAUGUCAUUUGAUCAGAGUCACCGGUUCAUUUGCUUGCUCAAAAAGAAAAAGGAUUUCGCAUGGACCCCGGAAUGUCAGCAAGCCUUAAAAGAAUUAAAGCGAUAUCUGUCGAGCCCGUCUUUGCUUCACACCCCGAAGGUAGAUGAAAAACUUUAUCUAUACUUGGCAGUGUCCGAGAUAGCAGUAAGUGGGGUACAAGUUCGAGAAGAGCAAGGUAUGCAAUUUCCUGUUUAUUACGUCAUCCGAACUCUAGGAGAUGCUGAAACUAGGUACCCUCACUUAGAAAAAUUAGCACUUGCAUUGAUAAGCGCAUAUAGAAAGCUAAAACAAUAUUUUCAAUGUCAUCCUAUAUGUGUAUUAACCACAUACCCCCUUCAAAAUGUUUUGCAUAAGCUCGAGUUAUUGGGCCGAUUGGCCAAAUAGACCAUCGAACUUAGUAGGUACGAUAUCAAAUAUCAACCCCGAACGGCCAUCAAGUCUCAAAUACUAGCAGACUUCGUGGCAAAUUUUACGCCAACCUCUGUACCCGAAGUGGAGAAAGAACUCUUGUUGAGUUCGGGUACGGCAUUGGGGGUAUGGACCCUUUUCACAGACGGUGCCUCGAAUGUGAAGGGGUUCGGACUUGGCAUUGUCUUGAAGCCACCCACGGGGUGAUACCAUUAGGCAAUCUAUCAAAACUCCUAGAUUAACUAACAGUCAGGCCGAGUAUGAGGCCAUGAUUGUAGGUCUCGAGCUAGCCAAAAGCUUGGGAGGUGAGGUCAUCGAGGCCAAGUGUGAUUCUCUAUUGGUGGUAAAUCAGGUAAACAAGAGUUUCGAGGUUCGAGAGCAUAGAAUGCAGCGGUACCUCGAUAAACUACAGGUAACUUUGCACCGCUUCAAGGAGUGGACUCUGAAUCACAUACCUCGAGAACAAAUAGUGAGGCUGAUGCACUUGCUAAUCUAGGAUCUUCGGUCGAAGAAGAUGACAUCGUCCUGGGGACUAUCGUCCAACUAUCAAAGUCUGUGGUUGAAGAGGGUCAUGCCAAGAUAAAUUCAACAAGUUUAACUUAGGACUGGAGAAAUAAGUAUAUCGACUAUAUGAAUAAUGGAAAACUCCCAUCGGACCACAAAAAAUCGAGGGCCCUACGAGCCAAGGCUGCUAGGUUUGCAUUAGAUAAAGAUGAAACCUUGUACCGAAGAACAUUCGAUGGACCAUUGGCGGUAUGCUUGGGUCCAGGGGACACCGAUUAUGUUCUACGAGAAAUCCACGAAGGCACUUGUGGGAACCAUUCUGGUGCUGAAUCUUUGGUCCGCAAAAUUAUCAGGGCAAGAUACUACUGGGAUAGCAUGGAAAAAGAUACUAAGGAAUUUGUCAAAAAAUGUGAUAAGUGUCACCGAUUUGCACCGAUGAUCCAUUAGCCCAGAGAACAACUCCAUUCAGUCCUAUCUUCGUGGCCUUACAUGAAAUGGGGAAUGGACAUAUUUGGACCCUUACCAAUGGCCCUAGGUAAAGCCAAGUUUAAUUUGUUUAUGAUCGAUUAUUUAUCUAAGUGGGUGGAAGCACAAGCCUUCGAGAAGGUCAGAUAAAAAGAAGUUAUUGACUUAAUCUGGGACCACAUCAUAUGCCGGUUUGGGAUACCUGUAGAGAUUGUAUGUAACUGUAAUGCCCCAGCCGAUUAUUUCAUUAGUUACUGCUCCUUCCCCCCAACCAAUUUCUGCUUUUUUAUGUGUUGUUCAGCUGUGUUUCAUCGCAUGAUAUUGGUUAGUUUAUGUUCGGAGUGGUUUUGUAGUGAAAUGAGACACUUAGUAUCUUAAGUUAGUCUUCUAGUUGAAAAAGUCAACUGGAAGUUGACUUGUGAGUAAAUGAUCUCAGAACUUGGUUUUUAUGGUUCGGAUAGCUUCAUGAGGUGAUUUGGGACUUAGGAGUGUGAUCGAAAUGUAUUUUGGAGGUCCGGGGUAGAUUUAGGCUUGAAUUGACAAAAUUGGAAUUUUGGCGUUUUCCUGUGGGUAGAGGAAAUUUUGAUAUAGGGGUCGGAAUGGAAUUUCGAAAAUUGUAGUAGGUCCUUUGUGUCAUUUGGGACGUGUGUGCAAAAUUUCAAGUCAUUCGGACGAGGUUUGAUAGGCUUUUUGAUCGAAAGAGGAAUUUGGAAGUUUUGGAAUUCUUAGGCUUGAAUCCGAUGGUGUUUUGAUGUUUGGAUAUUGUUUUUAGUAUUCCGAAGGUUGUAACAAGUUUGAAUAGUGGUAUGUGACUUGUUGGCAUGUUUGGUUGAGGUCCCGAGGGCCUCAUGAUACAUUUGGAUGGUUGAUGGAGAGUUUGGGUUUUUGGAGUUGUGCUGCAGAUUUUCUGCUUUUGUCAUUUCCGCACUCGCGGAUUGGGGACCACAGGUGCGAUGUCGCGGAUGCACAGAGGAGGUAACAGAAGCGGUCCAGGGUCAGUUGGAGCUUGAUCGCAGGUGCGGAGCUUCUAGCGCUCCUGCAGGGCCGCAAGUGCGAGUUUUAGCCGCAGAUGCAGAGUUGGGCCCUUAAGUGAAAACCGCAGGUGCAGUUACUUUGACUGCAGAAGCGGUCCGCAGAUGCGAUUAAAAAGGCCGCAGGUGCGGUAUCGCUGGGCAGAACAUAUAAAUUGAUGCCUUCACGAAUUUUUGGCUUAUUUCAUCAAUUUCUCAUUCGGGUUGGAGCUUGUGGGAGCAAUUUGAGGAGGGAAUUCAAGAGAAUUUCGUGGAGGUAAGAUUCUUGGAGCUAAAACUCAUUUCUAUAGUGAUAUUUUACUGAUUCGACGUGGAGUUUAUAGAAAUUAGUGGUUAAAAUUGGGGGUUUAGGGUUUGAAAUUGGAGACUUUGAUUCAGGGAUUUGAGGAGUCGUUUUUGGUCGGAUUUUGAUGAAUUUGGUACGUAUGAACUCGUGAGAGUGUAAGGAUUCUAGUUUUGUGAUUUUAUCGGAAUCCGAGACAUGGGUCCAGGGGUCGGGUUUGGCCAAUUUUAGGAUUAUUUUAUGUAAAUUGGUUAUUUUCGAGUGGGCCUUGUUCCUUUAGCGUGUAUUAAUGAUGUGAAACUGAUUCUUGUUAGAUUUAGAGCAUUUGGAGGCCGAUUUGAGAGGCAAAGGCAUCGCGGAUUAAAGUUUGGACCGGUUUAAGGUAAGUAAUGAUUGUAAAUGUUAUCCUGAGGGUAUGAAACCCCGGAUUUCACAUCGUUGUGCUACUUGAGGUGACGCACACGCUAGAUGACAAGCAUGGGGUCGUGCACCAUUGGGGAUUGUGACUUGGUCCGUCCCGUAUGACUGUUAAAUCACGUAUUUGAUUGAAAACUGUCUGAUAUCAUUGUGUUUUAGAAAGUAUUAUCAUGUUUUGGGCUGAAUGCCAUAUUUGGGCCUCGUGCCACUUGUUUUGAAUCCUUAGGGGAUUUUUAUUGCUAUUCCUCAUUGUUUUGACUUAAUAUAUGUACUCAGUCAUGCUGUAUUCUACUAUUUUCAUAACUCAACCAUAUUUACUCUAUUUUGAUAUUUUUAUAUGAUAUUUUGGGCUGAGCAUCAUGAUUUACUGUUGCCCGAGUGGCUUGAGAGGUUUCUGAUUGAGUGAGGCUGAGGGCCUGUGUUGUGAGGAUAUUAUGGAAUCGGGCUGCGUACCAUAGCAUAUUGUACUGAUUUGUGAUAUAUGAGAGGCCGAAGGCCUGAUUUGUUAUGCCACGAGAUGGCUUGUGAUAGCGCUUGGGCUGUAGGAGCCCCUCCGGAGUAUGAACACCCCCAGUGAGCGCGGGUACCCAGUGUGAGAGAUGUGAUACUGCCCGAAGGGCUAUUGUUGUUUCAUGUUGUUGCCCGAGGGGCUAAUUACGAGUGAUUGUGAGGUAGCCCGCGAGGCUGGAUCUGUUGAUACUUUGCCCGAGGGGAGGUUGUGGUACAUGUUUUGCAUGAGGGGCUAUUUAUGCUUUCAUCACUUUUACUCACUGUUUUCAUCACUCGUUUGAAACUAUUGGAAGAUGUUUUAAAAAGGUUUUAGUGAAAUAAGUUGUUUUUGCGAGUUUUAUUGCUUUACUGUAUUGUUCUGGCAUAUACUGUUUUGCUGUAGUGCUAUGACGUGAAAUUAUGUGUUUUCUUACUGCUUAGCUUUCAUUUACUUUUAUUACGUACUGAGUUGGCGUACUCACAUGACUCUCUGCACCUUGUGUGCAGAUCCAGGGGUCUCGGGACUCGAUAGUGAGUGCUAAUCAGUCUUCCAGUAGGUCUCCGGAGUUGACUAGGUAGCUGUUUGGCGUUCGCAAUCCAGUUCUUCUCCUUCCUAUCUUAUUUAGAUUGUCUUUGUAGUUUAUUUUCAGACUAUGUCAUCCUU